GGAAUGGGUAUGAAAAAUAUUAGUGAGAACCAGCAGCAUAAAGAACUGAGGAUAAGAUAAAUAGCAAUAAUGGAUCCAGUUGUAAUGUGGUCAGGUAGCAGGAAACACAUUUAUCCUUUGAGCAGUACAAGAGGAGGAGUCAGACUGAGGCAUUUGUCUUGGCAGGAGGCCCACAAAUACAGAAAGUGAAGGGCCAAUGAAAGAUCUGAGAUGACUGGAAGACUGAAGAGAGAGAGCUGUCCUGUGAAGAUGCUCUGUUUUUGAAUUACUUAGAUCAAGAAAUGGAGGCAAAAUGUUUUGCUUACCUGGUCCAAACACAGAAGAAGGAAUAUUUAAAAGGAGGAGUGAAAUAUACUCAAAAAAUGAAGAGGAACUUCCUGAGCAGCUUUCCUGAAUUUAGUGCUUAGUCCUGUGGACCCAGAUCCUGAAGGGUCCUAAUGAGAAAUGACUCUUCACGUUACAAAUGCCUCCUGUGCUGUCCCUGCAACCUGCCUGGCAGAGCCUUUUGAGCUUUAAGGCCUAUAAAACAGUUUGUUUUGGAUAUCUGUACUUAAUGGAGGACAGUUGCUACAGCCACAAGCUCUUGUGCAGCUUCUACCCAUUCCCCAGCAAGCCAAUGUUCUCCAGGCCAAACAAGAGGAUUCAUCAUAAAAGCUGCUGUAGAAAAAAAUGUUAUUUCCCACCACUUCAGUGCUACAAUGCUGCUGCAGAAGAAACACUUGCACUACCCAGGAGCAAGUCACAGAGAAAUGACACAGAUUUGCUUCCACGGAAGACUAGAUCAGCUGGGGAGAUGGUUGCAGCCUGGUCAUUUUCUACAGGCAGGACUCUGAGGAAGCAGGACUCUGAGAGUAUGUGGACUUUACCAGUCAAGACACAGGCACUCUGACUGAGUAUGGGCCUGUGUGGAUGGACCAGGAGAAAAGACUCCUUUAAUAAACAAAUGAAAAAGGUUACUUCUUAUUGCCUGCUCAUCAGGCUCUUGAUACUAAACUGCAAGGCUCUUGUAGUGUGAAGAGAUGUAAAAAAAUUACUGGAGGGUGAGUGGGUGUUACACAGCAACUGCUUGGUACAAAGGAGCAGUACAUUGGAAUUAGCACUGAAAACUGGUGAAGAGCACCAGCUCUUCAAACAUCAUUAGAAUUAAUGGUUUCACCAUUUACAUUUUGUGGAGUCCUGUCACCUGAACAUUUUUCGUUGGGCAGAAACCUCAGACUGUUUACAAACACUGUGUCCUGAGGCACUUCUUUCUCCAGCAGAACAAUAACUCCCUCUGGUGUUUGCCUGCUAUUGUUACUGCCUCAGCCACAGGCCUGGGAAACCCUGCCAGAGGAAGGAAACCCUGUCAGAUGAUGUAUGAACUAUAAACACUCUUUCCUUAACCGAUGGCAUUUUACACUUCGGGCAGAAAGGCCAUUGCGCCCACCGGCUCGGCCCCAGGGGCACUCAGGUCUGCAGGGAACAUCACUGCAUCGGGAAAAGUGGAAUGCCGAACUCCGCUGCUGCCGAGGACUCAUGCUGCCAAAGACUCAUUUACAUGCUCCCUGAAUUUAUUUAAUUACAUGAACAGUAGGCUUAUUGCAAUGUGUCUGGAUGCUUUAUUUGAUGAAUGCUGGAACUUACCAAUCCAGUCCUGAGAGGGUUGGGGUACACAUAGGGCUAUGUCAAAUGGCUGGAUGAUAGUUCAGAGUUAAUGAAUUGCUGUGUUCAGCUCUUGGGACAGACAAUGUAGAACUGUCAUUCAGCUGCAAACAUAUUUACAGGAAUGCUGUCACAGCUUUGAGGGUCAAAUUUGACCUACAAGUAAGUUACAAGCUACAUCUGCUGGCAGAGGAAGCAAAAUGAGAUGCAAGAGAAUUAAGCUCCUGCCCUUUGGGCUAGACCGUAUUGAUCGAUUGCCAUAAUAAUGCUGAAUGCAAAUUUUCUUAAUCUAAAAUUUAUGAGGAAAUCUAAACUUUUAGUCUUAAAUACAUAUUGCACAAUAAUUUUUAAGUACACACUCAAAAAUUUUUUUUUUCAGAUUUCAGCUGCGAUCAGAUGACGAAAACAAAUCUCAGGACAAGAUGAAAGACAUUAAAUGUUUGAGUUAUGCAUUUUACCAAAGAGAAGAGGUUAUUUUGAUGGGCUGUUUAAUAGAAAUUUCUUCCUGUGAUCAUUGAACUGGAUGCUCACUCCAAACAGCCCAGAGGCUUUUUAUAUGUGACCUAAAUGUCUGGAUUUUUUCUCUUUUCUUCUGUUCUAUCACAGAACAGAAAUCUGUAAGCUGAUUAUUGUUGCUUAAUUCACUUCUGAAUGCAAACAUCUUUGCAUAUUUCAGACACUGCUAUAUAGAGCUGAAAUCAGAAAAGCUAAAAGAGCUUGAGAGCUCAGUCUAAAUCCCAACUGUCUGGCUCCCUGGCCAAUGCCUUGCAUUAUACAAAGUGUGUAACCAUCCUACACCUUUGAUGUAAAACAACUCUCUUUUAAUGUGCUUUAAUCUCUUAUUCCCUUUGUCUAUCACAUAAUAAUCCUCUUGCUCAUGGUAAUCCUCAAAAUCACAUAUGCUCUUUAAAGCUUUUCUUUUGGAAAGUAUUCACACCCAUUUUUCUGGGCACUGGCAACUAAAUAUUACAGAAAACCUGAUUCUUCUGACUUUGACCAAGACAAUCUGAAUUUUUUGUAUUCCACAUUUACUGCUUGGCUGGAACUGGGUCAACAACAUGAGUAAACAGUUUCUAGUUGUCCAAUAGAACCACGGUGUGCGGACUGUUUGUUUGGCCAAGGCAGAGGCACAAGAUGUUUGGGAGAGUUAACAGGAAACAAGUAAAAUGACAUUUUUAUUUGGGUUAUAAAACAGAAAAUGAAAUUUAGUUGUCUAGAAUGAUUUAAGAACAUGUUCUCCUGGACUAUUAAAACAAGCUAGUAAAAGAAAAAUUCUCACCUCCUCAGCAGUAAUAAUCAAUCCCCCUAGCCCUGUCUCCUGGACACUUAUAAACAUGCUACUGGCUACUCAAAGUUUGAUUACUGUAAAGUUAAGUAUUUUUUGAUAUUGCCACCUUAAAUCAGAGGUAGAGGUUGAGACUAGAGUUACUUAAUCAGAUCAGCAUGUUGAUUUAAAUGAUCUAAUCAUGACAGAAAGUGAUGAUUAGAAUGGAAGUCUCAUCAGGUCAGAUGUAAGAUCCUAAACGACAUAAACUGCAUAAAUUGCAGGACAUGAUGAAUAUGAGCCUAAGAGUUCAAAAAGAGAGAUCUUUUAAAAGGUCUUAGAAGAUCUUUUUAAUUGUUGGUAAAUGUGCACAUUGCCAUAAGGAAUUUGUAGGAAGCUAGGAGGAGUGCUGAGGCACAGCUUCCAAUGACACAACAGCACAACCUGCUGAUCAGACCACCUCAUCUUGUCUGUCCAAGACCAUCCAGUUUGCCUCACUAACUCCCCAAAAGACCAAGCACAGAAAUUUCGCCAGGUUUGCUUUUUAUAGAGAGUAGGGUCUGCUGUUCUGUCAGCAGGACAGAUCCUGGUUCUACUCCUGAUGUCUAGGGGUAUUUUACUUUUUUCCCUUGUUGGAAGGUGCUUCUCCCAUCCUAAGUAAUGGGAAUGUCCCGUCCAUAACCCCUCCGUGUUGAUCAGUCCUAUACAGACACAUAACACAUGUUAUUGCCCCUCUCCUAAGCCAUCAGAGCAGGCAGAGGGAGGGAUCAGUCCUGGGCUCUGGGUCAGCUGCUGACUCACAGCAGCUGCCCCGGGGAUGAUGGAUACACAGACUCCAGCUUCACAGCACA